rnacentral:rRNA from 1 species
AGAUUGAACGCUGGCGGCAGGCCUAACACAUGCAAGUCGAGCGGCAGCACGGGUACUUGUACCUGGUGGCGAGCGGCGGACGGGUGAGUAAUGCCUAGGAAUCUGCCUGGUAGGUGGGGAUAACGCUACGGAAACGGCGCUAAUACCGCAUACGUCCUACGGGAGAAGCAGGGACCUUCGGGCCUUGCGCUAUCAGAUGAGCCUAGGUCGAUUAGCUAGGUGGUGGGUAAUGGCUCGACCAAGGCGACGAUCCGUAACUGGUCUGAGAGGAUGACCAGUCACGACUGGAACUGACGGACCACGGUCCACGACGUCCGUACGGGAGCAGCGAGGUGGGAAUAGUUAGGAACAAGUGGGACCAAAGCCUAGACUACCGAGCCAUCGCCGCGGUGUAGGUA